rnacentral:rRNA from 1 species
GGUUGAUCCUGCCAGUAACAUAUGCUUGUCUCAAAGAUUAAGCCAUGCAUGUCUAAGUGUGAACUCAUUUCGCAUAGCUGAACUGCGUACAGCUCAUUAAAUCAGUUAUAAUUUGUUUGAGGAUUGUUGUUUUUUGAUUUAUGAUCAAGAAAACUAUACGGAUAACCGUAGUAAUUCUAGAGCUAAUACGUGUUUGGAGGAGGGGUGUGUUGUUUCGAUGGCAUGCCCCUCUGUACUGAUUAGAUAUCGUGUAUGUUGUUUGCACUCUCUUGUCGCAGAUGACUCAUAAUCAU